GCCAGUGUGGUGUAGUGUUUUGAGUCCUGGACUACAACUCUGGAGACCAGGGUUCAAUUCCCGCUUAGCCA